rnacentral:lncRNA from 1 species
GGGAUGGAAGAUGAAUCUCAGGUUGCCAUCUUGAAUUGGAAGCCAGCACCUCCAAUACAGCAGGAAAAGGGAGGAAAGAAGAAAGAAAUGGAGAAAUGCCUCACUCAUGCUGGUGAUAACACUGGGGUUUCCUCCAACACACUCCCACUUUGGCUAGAAUUCCAUGCUCCCCGCUCUGGCCUCAGCUCAAGGUGAGUUUCUUCUGGGCUCUUGCGAGCAGCUGGGGAGAUACUCUCUGUAUUUAGGUCUCAUGUG